AUGUCCGCCCAGGAGUGUUGGGACAACGGUAAACCCAAGUGGAAGAAAACACUCCGAGAAGAAUCAGGGCAUCCACGCAACAGGAGGGUGCACUGGUGUCGCACCCGCUGAACAAUGAGCCCGUCCCUCCAUCUUGUGGGGGCACUGGUGUCCCACAUGGCAAUGCGGCUGCCAAGCCCGUACAACAGUGCCAGCGCCCGCGCUGGUUGGCCGGUGCUCUCAAUGCUGCCAGCCGCCAUUCCCGAAGCCACAGUGAACGAGCAUGACGACUGGCAUGAUGCCUGAUUCACCUGCCUCACCGCUUCUGGACUGGGGUGGCAUCAUGGAGGUUGUGGUUGCUGCGCCACCAACCAAGC